rnacentral:lncRNA from 1 species
GUUGCCUUGAGCAGCAGAUUUUGCCACCUCUGUUCCAGUCUGUGCAGUGAAGAUGAAAAGACCCUUCUCUUCUCUUGAGCAGAGAGCUUUUCCUGACCACGCUGAGAGGGAGGUGUGACUACGGAAGAAUGGCUGGAGAGAGGCAACGCUGCUUGGCUUUGAAGAUGGAAGGAGAAAGCCAGGAGCUAAGGAAUGCAGUAACCUCCAGGAUCUGGAAGAGGCAAGAGGACAGGAGCUCCUCUAGAGUCUCUGGAAAGGAGCACAGCCCCAGCACCUCGAUUUUAGCCCAGUCUGACCCAUGGCUGCCUUCAGACCUCCGGAACUGUCAAUUCAUAAAUUGGUUUUGUUUUAAGCCUUAUAAGUUUGUGGUAAUUUGUUACAGCAGCAUUAGGAAACUAAUACAGUGGAAGACAGUUCCAGGCAGAGGGAACAGCAUGUGCAAAGGCCUGGAG